UACGUAGGGUGCGAGCGUUAAUCGGAAUUACUGGGCGUAAAGCGUGCGCAGGCGGUUUUGUAAGCCAGAUGUGAAAUCCCCGGGCUUUAACCUGGGAAUGGCAUUUGGGACUGCAAGGCUUGAGUGCGGCAGAGGAGACUGGAAUUCCUGGUGUAGCAGUGAAAUGCGUAGAUAUCAGGAGGAACACCGGUGGCGAAGGCGGGACUCUGGGCCGAUACUGACGCUGGAGGAGCGAAAGCGUGGGAGCAAACAGG
rnacentral:rRNA from 1 species